GUCACGCGAACGGCAACGGCUAACGAUGAGUACCCUCAUCCGCUGGCCCACCCCCAUGACGGGAUAGUUAUGAGGGCUGUUUGCGGGUUCCGUCUGGUGCGUUUGGCGCACUUCGGGCUCGACACUGCGCUACCCCGCAGGCCGACCGAUACACGGGUUUCGUGAUCGCUGUUCUGGCAGGGUGCUAGGAAUUGAUCCGACCAGUG
rfam:Marine gamma proteobacterium HTCC2080 1100755000539, whole genome shotgun sequence.